AGUUGGAAGACUUGUUAACCUUGUCGUUCUGUUGGUAAUCGAAUAAAACAGUCUCCUGUUACUGCUCGAAGGGGUCGCAUACUUGAGUGACCCCCCUAUUAGGUUGCGAACGUAUUUUGAGCUUUUAGCCUUGCUACUCUGAAGACAAGACAGUUGGUAAGCUUGGUCUCGAGGUUAAUUGUAUACCAUUAAUGCGUUUGAGA
rnacentral:misc_RNA from 1 species